GAUAGCUCAGUUGGUAGAGCAGGGGACUGAAAAUCCUCGUGUCAC
rnacentral:tRNA from 1 species